rnacentral:rRNA from 1 species
UACGUAGGGUGCAAGCGUUAAUCGGAAUACUGGGCGUAAAGCGUGCGCAGGCGGUUGUGCAAGACAGAUGUGAAAUCCCCGGGCUCAACCUGGGAAUUGCAUUUGUGACUGCACGGCUAGAGUGUGUCAGAGGGGGUAGAAUUCCACGUGUAGCAGUGAAAUGCGUAGAGAUGUGGAGGAAUACCGAUGGCGAAGGCAGCCCCCUGGGAUAACACUGACGCUCAUGCACGAAAGGCCGUGGGGAGCAAACAGG